GUGGCGAACGGGUGAGUAACACGUGGGUAAUCUGCCCUGCACUCUGGGAUAAGCCUUGGAAACGAGGUCUAAUACCGGAUAGGACACAUGGCCGCAUGGUCUGUGUGUGGAAAGUUCCGGCGGUGCAGGUUGAGCCCGCGGCCUAUCAGCUUGUUGGUGGGGUGAUGGCCUACCAAGGCGACGACGGGUAGCCGGCCUGAGAGGGUGACCGGCCACACUGGGACUGAGACACGGCCCAGACUCCUACGGGAGGCAGCAGUGGGGAAUCUUGCGCAAUGGGCGAAAGCCUGACGCAGCAACGCCGCGUGGGGGAUGACGGCCUUCGGGUUGUAAACCUCUUUCGACAUCGACGAAGCCUUCGGGUGACGGUAGGUGUAGAAGAAGCACCGGCUAACUACGUGCCAGCAGCCGCGGUAAUACGUAGGGUGCGAGCGUUGUCCGGAAUUAUUGGGCGUAAAGAGCUCGUAGGCGGUUUGUCGCGUCGGCCGUGAAAACCUGCCGCUUAACGGUGGGCGUGCGGUCGAUACGGGCAGACUUGAGUUCGGUAGGGGAGACUGGAAUUCCUGGUGUAGCGGUGAAAU
rnacentral:rRNA from 1 species